rnacentral:lncRNA from 1 species
GGACCACCACCUUGACACAUAGCUAGGGUUGUCUUCACACAAAAGGGUUCAGUGUGGAAGGCAGGGUGGUGGGAGGAGGGAGGGGUAGGCCAGGCCCGAGCCCACCUCCAUCCCUCUACAGUAGAGGUCUGGCCACAGUCAGGGACAUAUCCACCUACUUGCAUGGAAGAUGGAAGAGAGGCUCUUGCUUACUACUGACCGCUGAGUUCCUCUACAUGCAUUGCCAGAAAUGUCCAGCAGAGGGCGCCUGGCCCUGUGGAUCUUUUUAGAAGACAGCCGCCCCGGUGCCAGCCUGAGAGAGUCCUCAUUCCAGGUUUAUGUGCCCACAAGGUCCAUUCCACCGACUCACUCUGGAAGACUCUUAAACAGAGAGACUAGAGCUGAAUAUGGUGGUACCUGCCUAGAGUUCCAGUACUCAGACACUGCGGCAGAAGCAUCAAGAGUUCAAGGCCGGGCUGGUGAGAUGGCUCAGUGGGUAAGAGCACCCGACUGCUCUUCCAAAGGUCCAGAGUUCAAAUCCCAGCAACCACGUGGUGGCUCACAACCAUCCGUAAUGAGAUCUGACUACCUCUUCUGGAGUGUGUGAAGACAGCUACA